rnacentral:rRNA from 1 species
AUGUUUAGGAGGAUGUUCCAAGGUGGACCUUCAAGGAAGCAAGGUCCCAGACUUGCAAUACGUGAUGCUGACGAGGAACCACCAAGAGAUGCUCCUGUGAGGCCCUAUGAAUGGCCUUCGGAAAAUUUUAUGAAUCAAGUGGGAAUCAAAGAAGAAUUUAGCGCAUAUUUGUGCAACGGCGGUCUUGAGGACUUUGAAGCUGACAAAUGCCACCAGUAUCAUGAUCUCACAAGUUCAUUUGUGAGGAGGUUUGAGUUUUCAUCUUCGCGUAAUUCUCCUUCAGUCAUGUUUGACCUUUAUGACAAAUCUUAUACCAUGGACUUAGAGGAUUUCACUUCUGCUUGCAAACUUCCAUCUUGGGGUAGUAUCAGAGAUCCCCCUAAAUCUGAAUAUAGAGACUUUCUUGCUAGAAUAACUGUGGGGGAAUCUAGAGAUAUAACACAAGCCACUUUAGGGAGCAUUCACUUUCCUGCUAUACACUAUUUUGCUCUCUUUAUAGGUAGAUGCAUAAAUGCUAAGGAUGAAGCAUGUCACUUGUGUGUCCCUGACCUCACAUUCUCAGAAGUGCUGUGUUAG